rnacentral:rRNA from 1 species
GCUGGCGGUAUGCUUAACACAUGCAAGUCGAACGGAAACGAUACUAGCUUGCUAGUAGGCGUCGAGUGGCGGACGGGUGAGUAACGCGUAGGAAUCUGCCUGAUAGUGGGGGAUAGCCCGAAGAAAUUCGGAUUAAUACCGCAUAAUCUAUUCGUAGUAAAGUGGGGGACUUUCGAGCCUCACGCUAUCAGAUGAGCCUGCGUAAGAUUAGCUUGUUGGUAGGGUAAAAGCCUACCAAGGCGACGAUCUUUAGCUGGUCUGAGAGGAUGAUCAGCCACAUCGGGACUGAGACACGGCCCGAACUCCUACGGGAGGCAGCAGUGGGGAAUAUUGGACAAUGGGGGCAACCCUGAUCCAGCAAUACCGCGUGUGUGAAGAAGGCCUGAGGGUUGUAAAGCACUUUCAAUUGUGAAGAAAAGUUAGCGGUUAAUAACCGUUAGCCUUGACGUUAACUUUAGAAGAAGCACCGGCUAACUCCGUGCCAGCAGCCGCGGUAAUACGGAGGGUGCAAGCGUUAAUCGGAAUUACUGGGCGUAAAGCGUGCGUAGGUGGUUUAUUAAGUCAGAUGUGAAAGCCCCGGGCUUAACCUGGGAACUGCAUUUGAAACUGGUCAACUAGAGUAUGGUAGAGGAAAGUGGAAUUUCUGGUGUAGCGGUGAAAUGCGUAGAUAUCAGAAGGAACAUCAAUGGCGAAGGCAGCUUUCUGGACCAAUACUGACACUGAGGUACGAAAGCGUGGGUAGCAAACAGGAUUAGAUACCCUGGUAGUCCACGCCGUAAACGAUGAUAACUAGCCGUUGGGGGGAUUUACCCUUUAGUGGCGAAGCUAACGCGUUAAGUUAUCCGCCU